rnacentral:rRNA from 1 species
CCUACGGGUGGCAGCAGUGGGGGAUAUUGCACAAUGGGGGGAACCCUGAUGCAGCGACGCCGCGUGGGUGAAGAAGCGCCUAGGCGCGUAAAGCCCUGUCAGCAGGGAAGCAAAUGUCGGUACCUGAAGAAGAAGCCCCGGCUAACUACGUGCCAGCAGCCGCGGAAAUACGUAGGGGGCAAGCGUUAUCCGGAUUUACUGGGUGUAAAGGGGGCGCAGACGGGGAUGCAAGCCAGGAGUGAAAGCCCGGGGCCCAACCCCGGGACUGCGAUUGAAACCGGGUGGCUGGAGUGCAGGAGGGGCAUGCGGAAUGCCUGGUGUAGCGGUGAAAUGCGUAGAUAUCAGGAGGAACACCGGUUGCGAAGGCGGCAUGCUGGACUGCAACUGACGUUGAGGCCCGAAAGCGUGGGGAGCGAACAGGAUUAGAUACCCUUGUAGUC